GCGGGUGUGGCGGAACUGGCAGACGCGCCAGACUUAGGAUCUGGUGCCGCAAGGCGUGGGGGUUCGAGUCCCUUCACCCGCA
rnacentral:tRNA from 1 species